rnacentral:rRNA from 1 species
AGUGAACGCUGGCGGCGUGCCUAAUACAUGCAAGUCGAACGUGAAAGUUCUUCGGAAUGAGUAAAGUGGCGCACGGGUGAGUAAUACGUGGGAACGUGCCCUAAGGUGGGGAAUAACUGUUGGAAACGACAGCUAAUACCGCAUGGUCUCGAAAGAGUAAAGGUGGCUCGCAAGAGCUAUCGCCAUAGGAUCGGCCCAUGUCCCAUUAGCUAGUUGGCGGGGUAAUAGCCCACCAAGGCAACGAUGGGUAACUGGUCUGAGAGGAUGAUCAGUCACACUGGAACUGAGACACGGUCCAGACUCCUACGGGAGGCUG